rnacentral:rRNA from 1 species
UACGUAGGGUGCGAGCGUUGUCCGGAAUUACUGGGCGAAAGAGCGCGCAGGCGGUCGAUCAAGUCGCGUGUGAAAGCCCCCGGCUCAACUGGGGAGGGUCACGCGAUACUGAUCGACUCGAAGGCAGGAGAGGGUAGUGGAAUUCCCGGUGUAGUGGUGAAAUGCGUAGAUAUCGGGAGGAACACCAGUGGCGAAGGCGAACUACCUGGCCUGUUUCUUGACGCUGAGGCGCGAAAGCUAGGGGAGCAAACGGGG